GAUGAACGCUGGCUACAGGCUUAACACAUGCAAGUCGAGGGGAAACGACGGGGAAGCUUGCUUCCCCGGGCGUCGACCGGCGCACGGGUGAGUAACGCGUAUCCAACCUGCCUCUGACUGAGGGAUAACCCGUCGAAAGUCGGCCUAAUACCUCAUGGUAUCGUCUGCGGGCAUCCAACGACGAUUAAAGAUUUCAUCGGUCAGGGAUGGGGAUGCGUCUGCUUAGCUUGUUGGCGGGGUAACGGCCCACCAAGGCUACGAUCAGUAGGGGUUCUGAGAGGAAGGUCCCCCACAUUGGAAACGAGGCACGGUCCAAACUCCUACGGGAGGCAGCAGUGAGGAAUAUUGGUCAAUGGGCGAGAGCCUGAACCAGCCAAGUAGCGUGCAGGAAGACGGCCAUAUGGGUUGUAAACUGCUUUUAUGCGGGGAUAAAGUGAGGGACGUGUCCCUCAUUGCAGGUACCGCAUGAAUAAGGACCGGCUAAUUCCGUG
rnacentral:rRNA from 1 species